rnacentral:rRNA from 1 species
UACGUAGGGUGCAAGCGUUACCCGGAUUUAUUGGGCGUAAAGGGCGCGUAGGCGGCUCUGCACGUUCGUUGUGAAAUCGCCCGGCUCAACUGGGCGGGUCAGCGGAUACGGCAGAGCUUGAGCAAGCUAGGGGCAAUGGAAUUCCCGGUCGUAGCGGUGAAAUGCGUAGAUAUCGGGAGGAACACCUGUGGCGAAGGCGGCCCCCUGGUUGGAUACUGACGCUGAUACGCGAAAGC